rnacentral:ncRNA from 1 species
UUGGUGCCUGGGGUUACGGCCCUGGGUGAAAAGGGAACCGGGUGGGAAUCCCGGACAGACGGCGCUGCUGUGUGCCCCAUGUAAUGAUAUCCCGCACCAGUCCACUGUGCAUGGACCUCUCGCGAGGCUCAGCAUGGGAAGGACGGGUCGCUGAUAGGGAAGGGGCGAGUCAGAAGACCUGCCAAGUCGCA